GUACAUCUGGUGGAUGAUAUACGUACAAUCUUUGUGGCACUCGAGUAGGAUCCGUGGUAACUGAUCGAGGCCUUCACAUGGCGAAUCCACGACGUUGAUGCGAUAGUAUAGAUGGGGGAAUGCAAAAGGCAAGAGGAAUGAUAUAUAUGUACCAGCAGUUAGCCAGUUACACAUCAUCAUCAUUACUUCAACCUGUUUAAGUAAUAUAUAUACGUAGUAUGUAGCUGCAACGUACCCAUGGUUUCCGUAUGCGUGGGCCAGACUGCAUGCCACGAGAUAAACCUUCGUUCCUUAGUUGACUUUUUGGCUAUCUUUUCUAGGCACAUUCUUUUUUUCAAAAAAAAAAAAAAUCUUUCGGUAGCUGUUUGCGGACCGAACAUAUACACGCGCAUCCAGAAUUGUACUAUAUGAAAAAGCUUUAUAUCCACAACCCCUCUAGGGACGCCAUAACAUAUACGCGUCUGCAGUAGUAAUACUAUAAAUAUAUUAUAUUGACGUGCGUAUAUAGUAAAACGAAAGUAGCACUGCUGCAUGUUCGGGUAUUAGCAUCAGUCGAGAAGGGCUUGUUGCCC
rnacentral:lncRNA from 1 species